rnacentral:rRNA from 1 species
CAAUAGCGUAUACUAAAGUUGUUGCAGUUAAAACGCUCGUAGUCGGAUUUCGGGGCGGGCCGACCGGUCUGCCGAUGGGUAUGCACUGGCCGGCGCGUCCUUCCUUCCGGAGACUGCGCCUACUCUUAGCUGAGCGGGCGUGGGAGACGGAUCGUUUACUUUGAAAAAAUCAGAGUGUUUCAAGCAGGCAGCUCGCUCUUGCAUGGAUUAGCAUGGGAUAAUGAAAUAGGACUCUGGUGCUAUUUUGUUGGUUUCGAACACCGGAGUAAUGAUUAACAGGGACAGUCAGGGGCACUCGUAUUCCGUCGAGAGAGGUGAAAUUCUCAGACCAACGGAAGACGAACCACUGCGAAAGCAUUUGCCAGGGAUGUUUUCACUGA